GAGUAGAUAACUCAAGAGGAAGAAUUGUUCUUAAGAAAGAACAAUAACACAAUAGCUGUAGUUGACCUCCUAGAUAUCACAAUUAUUCCCUGGAUUUUAAUUUAAUUGGAAGAACAAUGAAGACAUAUGUCCCUACUUUAUUCAUAUUCUUGUGGCUGCAACUGGAUGGGCUGAGCCAAGGUGAGCAGGUGGAGCAGCGUCCUUCCACCCUGAGAGUCCAGGAGGGAGCCAGUGCUGUCAUCAACUGCACAUAUGUAGACAGUACCUCGUCCUACUUUCCUUGGUAUAAGCAAGAACCUGGGAAGCAUCCUAAGCUAAUUAUUGACAUUCGUUCAAAUGUGGAAAGAAAGCAGGACCAAAGACUGAUUCUUUCACAUGAUAAGAAAGCCAAACACCUUUCUCUGCACAUCACAGACACCCAGCCUGGAGACUCUGCCAUGUACUUCUGUGCCGCAAGUGCACACUGCUCUCCAGGCACCUGCAGCCUGUCCUAA